rnacentral:rRNA from 1 species
CAGCAGCCGCGGUAAGACAGAGGAUGCAAGCGUUACUCGGAAUUACUGGGCGUAAAGCGUGCGUAGGUGGUGGUUUAAGUCCGUUGUGAAAGCCCUGGGCUCAACCUGGGAAUUGCAGUGGAUACUGGGUCACUAGAGUGUGGUAGAGGAUAGUGGAAUUUCCGGUGUAGCAGUGAAAUGCGUAGAGAUCGGAAGGAACAUCUGUGGCGAAGGCGACUAUCUGGGCCAACACUGACACUGAGGCACGAAAGCGUGGGGAGCAAACAGGAUUAGAUACCCCUGUAGUCCCUGUCUCUUAUAU